rnacentral:lncRNA from 1 species
CUGCCCCUUCCUGCCCGCCCCACGCCCCUCGGAGCCUGCGGCCCGCCCACGGCCCGAGCGCCACCUCGAACCUCGGGGCUGGGGGAGGCGGGCGCUCGCGCGCCGUGCGGGCCCGGGGCGCCGUGCGGGGCUCCCCGGGGUGCGCGCGGGGUCUCCGGCCCCUUCCUCUGGCCUCGGGGCCGGCCGGCCGGGCUCCCACGCGCCCUUCACAGCGGGGCGUCUGCGGGUACCGUGCGGGACGCCAGGCGCCUUACACGGGGUCCUCCAACCCAGACUUCAUUUCACACGCAGGUAAACUGAGGCCUGCAGCGGCUUACUGAUUUGGCCACAGCAGAAAAACAGCUGUGGGAGAGGAAACUACAACCCGAGGAGGAGAUCCAUCCAGAGCCAGGGCGGACGAGACAGCAGGGAGCGAGGAGUGGGAAACUGAGGCACCGAAGAGGGCGCGGUGCGGGGGUGGAAUCCGUGGAAAAGGACUUCUUGGGAAAGACAACCCGAGGGGCCCAGCCGGAGGCGGCGGGUCCCACCACUGCCCCACACCCACCCCCAGUCCCGCCUCUCCUCUCCUCUCCUCUCCUCUGCUUCCCUCCCCGACUCUCUCGCUCGCCAGGCUGCCACGUUCCGGGCUUACAUAACCCAAGAAGAAAAGCCAGAGCCGAUACCCGGCGGGCUGAAGCUAGGGAUGGAGGGGCCUAGGCUUGCGUGGGGGCUCUGCCCUCCUCCCGCCAUCGUUCUCCCCUUCCUGUAUCCCUCUCAUCAGGGUCUACAGCCUUGGGUGUCUAUUCUCUCCUUCGUUGGGGGUUUCAGAUCACUUCCAUCCUCCUCGUGGGUGCCCUUUUGAGUCCCCUUUGAGUUCCGAACGUCAGGAUGGCCUUCCAUGAAGGAAAAAGACAAAACCUUCCACAGUGCGUCUUUGGCCAGUGCUUCCCCUUUGCUGCCAUUCCCACUAGAAGCAAUGUCCAGAAGUAGAGUCUGCAUCAUUGUGGUGGUCCAAGCUCACACGAUUCCUGGAAAGGAACACUGUACUGCACUCCUGAAACACACUCACCCCUGGUUCCGAAGAACCCAGAGGGGUGAGUCCUGGAGCUCUGGACACUUUUGGUCAACCCAGUGUGCACAUGAGAUAGAGGGCUAGAAAGGCCCUGGGAGACUAAGCAGGGCUGUUGAGAGACCAGGUCCCUUCCUAGACAGCACUCCCAGAGCACAGGGAGCCCUGAGCAAAUGGCACCAGGAGAUGGCAGGAGUCAGGCUGAGCUUCCCUGCUUCCUAAGACGGGAAGCCAGGUCCAAACAGCUAUCCAGGACUGCCUAGUUUCCAGCAUUGUCUAGUCUGGCCACUUCCCUGUCUCUAGCCUCCAGCCCUGUUCAAGUUUCCCAGAGAGUGUGAGGUGAAGGAAGGGAGGACACAAACAACAGGAUAUCUUGGGCUCUUGAGACUUCCACCCCCUGCCACCAAGCCCUGCUCCAUACAGCAGUCACAUGGAGUCAGUUCCUCCCUGUUAGAUCCCCAGCAGGCUCACCAGUACCAAGUACUUUUUCUACCUGUGCCUUUCCCACCCACAUCCACCUCACCUAUUCCUCUGGCUCCUGUCCUUCCAGUCACACUGUUAUUCGAGCUGCAGUGCACAGCCCUUGCACAGUCCAGAUGCAAAGGACCCCUUUCCCUUUUCCUUGACGCUACUGUGAAUCUGUUCACCAGCCCGCUCUCACUCUGCACAGUGUACUUUUUUUUCCCCCUUCAAUAAAUGCCCAUCCCUCUCUCUUUUCCGGAGGUCUUGUCCACUUCUUUAUCAGGACACUUGGAAAGAAUUCCUCCAGGCCCCACUAUUUGGUAACAUUUUCUAGGCAGGUCCAGCUGAGAAAUAAGACUCUUCUCUUUCCCAUUUUUGGUCAGUCAUAGUGUUAUAGACAGCUAAGUUAGGUAGAAAUAAAUAGGCAGUCCGACAGGGGUAAGCCCUCAAAAGAGUCAAUACAAAAGAUGAAAACACUAUGGCUAUUUCUGGAGCAGUAUCUGUUGGAGGCCAGGACUCAAGAUAAAGACAAAAUGAUCAGGGCAACAUGCUUCUCCAGUAAGACAAGUGGUAACAACUGGUCCAGUGAAGUCUAG